rnacentral:rRNA from 1 species
CCUACGGGUGGCAGCAGUGAGGAAUAUUGGUCAAUGGGCGUAAGCCUGAACCAGCCACGUCGCGUGAGGGAUGACGGUCCUAUGGAUUGUAAACCUCUUUUAUAAGGGAAUAAAGUGCGGGACGUGUGCCUUUUUGUAUGUACUUUAUGAAUAAGGAUCGGCUAACUCCGUGCCAGCAGCCGCGGUAAUACGGAGGAUCCGAGCGUUAUCCGGAUUUAUUGGGUUUAAAGGGUGCGUAGGUGGCUUGUUAAGUCAGCGGUGAAAGUUUGGGGCUCAACCGUAGAAUUGCCGUUGAUACUGGGAGGCUUGAGUAUAGUUGAGGCAGGCGGAAUGCGUGGUGUAGCGGUGAAAUGCUUAGAUAUCACGCAGAACCCCGAUUGCGAAGGCAGCCUGCCAAGCUAUGACUGACGCUGAUGCACGAAAGCGUGGGGAUCAAACAGGAUUAGAUACCCUAGUAGUC